GCGUCGGUAGUGCAACGGUUAGCAUGCGCUCCCGGAAAGAGUGAGAUCUGGGUUCGAAUCCCGGCUGACUCA